rnacentral:rRNA from 1 species
GAGACCCACGCCAACAGUUGCCAGCUCGUCCUCCGGGAUGGAGGGGACACUGUUGGGACCGCCUCUGCUAAAGAGGAGGAAGGAAUGGGCAACGGUAGGUCAGCAUGCCCCGAACUAUCCGGGCUACACGCGGGCUACAAUGGGUGGGACAAUGGGUAUCGACACCGAAAGGUGAAGGCAAUCUCCUAAACCCAUCCUUAGUUCGGAUUGUGGGCUGCAACUCGCCCACAUGAAGCUGGAAUCCGUAGUAAUCGUGUCUCAAAAUGGCACGGUGAAUAU